UGGCAGAGUGGCCUUGCUGCCA
rnacentral:sRNA from 1 species